rnacentral:ncRNA from 1 species
AAUUCUUUGAGUUUGAUGAUGGCUCUGAUUGAACGCUAUCCAAGUGCUUGACACAUGCUAAUCGAACGUCACCAUUCUUUAUGUGUGGUGAAGUGGUGUAAUGGUGAGUAAAUAGUAUUUUGGCUACCUUAGAGUAAGGGUAAAUCCCUUAUAACUAAAGAAAAAAAAAUUUUCGCUCUAAGAUGAUAAUUAAUAUUUCGGUAAGUAGUAGAAAAGGUAAUGUCUUAACUAGCUAGAUACCGUAGUCGUGACUGAGAGGUCGAUCGACCACAUUGGGUCUGAGAAAACCCCCAAUGCGUAAUUGUACAGCAGUGAGGAAUAUUGGUCAAUGGCCUAACGGCUGAACCAGCAACUUGGAAGAAUGUAGGUGUAUUAAUAUAAAUUAAUGCAAUAACGAUUCUAUCGUAUAAAAUUCUAAAUAGAUUAAUGAUAAUGACUAUUAUCUGUUUAUAAGUCUUGACCAAAUUGCGUGCCAGCAGUCGCGGUAAUACGUAGAAGACUAGUGUUAGUCAUCUUUAUUAGGUUUAAAGGGUACCUAGACGGUAAAUUAAACCUUAACGGGUACUUUUUUACUAGAGUUUUAUAUGAGAAGGGGAGUAUCCUUGAAGUAAUGUUAUAAUAUUUUAAUAACAAGGAGACUGGUAAAGGCGAAGGCUGCCUUCUAUUAAAAACUGACGUUGAGGGACGAAGGCUUGGGUAGCGAGAAGGAUUAGAUACCCUAGUAGUCCAAGCAGAAAAUUAUGAAUGUCAUAAGCUAGAUUAGAUUCUUAAAACACUAAUAAUUCGGGUUAUUAGAAAGAAAGAGUAGUUUAACUAAAUAGGGUGUUAACUAUAAGGAGGACAACCGCCUGUAUGUAGGGCGAAAGGUUUCCUCUAUCUUAAGUAAAUUUUAGCUUAUAAAUGAAAGUGUAAGCAUUCCACCUCAAGAGUAAAAUGGCAACAUUUAAACUGAAAUCAUUAGACCGUUUCUGAAACCAGUAGUGAAGUAUGUUAGUUAAUUCGAUAGUCCGCGAAAAACCUUACCACAAUUUGUAUAUUAUUAAAUUAUUACACGAGCUGCAUGGCUGUCUUUAGUUAAUGUCGUGAGAUCUGGUUAACUCCUUUAAUUAACGAAAACCCUCACCUUAUUUAUUUACAUAAAGUGGUUCACCGCUAUAUUGGAUUUGAUAAGAGGGAUUAAGACAAGUCAUCAUGGCCAUAAUAUUGUGGGCUUUAGACGUGCCACAGAUACCAAGACAAAGGGAUGCAAUAUCGUGAGAUGGAGCUAAUCCUUAAAAUUGGAUAAUAUGGAUUGUAGUCUGUAACUCGACUACAUGAAUAAGGAAUUACUAGUAAUCGUGAAUCACCACGUCACGGUGAAUGAAAUCUCAGUUAGGCACUAACCACUCGUCAGGCGCCGAAAGAUGUAUGUGCAAUAAGUUUGGUUAAUGAUUAAGCUAAUAUAUAUAGGUAGAUAUGUAUAGGUAUUCAUUUAAUCUUCGUAUGUAUGACUUUAAUUGGUGUUAAGUCGAAAUAAGGUUCGUGUAAUGGAAAUUGCACGGGAUUGAUAAAUCUU